GCCUCUAUAGCUCAGUGGCUAGAGCGGCGGUUUUGUAAGUCGAAAUCAAAGAUUUCGUCCAAGAUAACCGUAGGUCGGGGGUUCAAAUCCCUCUAGAGGCU
rnacentral:tRNA from 1 species